AUUACCCUGCGAUGUACGUCACAUUGCUCCACAGGUUUUGAGCCAACACUCAUACCUAGGGAGCCUGAUACUCCGCUUGCUAAAAACCAGCCUCCUUUGAGUGGACUUUUGCGGUAAGUGGGAAGGCACCCACCUGCACAUGCAGGUUCAAAACACGGGGCGGGACGGCAUUGUGGGGCAUAA
rnacentral:other from 1 species